rnacentral:misc_RNA from 1 species
AGGUGAACCUGCGGAAGGAUCAUUACAGAGUUCAUGCCCUUCGGGGUAGACCUCCCACCCUAUGUUAUACAUUGCCUUUGUUGCUUUGGCGGGCCGCCUUUUGGCCACCGGCCCCGGCGGGUGCGCGCCCGCCAGAGAACCCCAAACCCUGUCUUACAGUGUCGUCCGAGUACUAUAUAAUAGUUAAAACUUUCAACAACGGAUCUCUUGGUUCUGG